AAUCAACGCUGGCGGCGUGCCUAACACAUGCAAGUCGCACGAGAAAGGGACUUCGGUCCUGAGUACAGUGGCGCACGGGUGAGUAACACGUGAAUAAUCUACCUUCGAGUGGGGAAUAACUGAGAGAAAUCUUAGCUAAUACCGCAUAAUACCCACGGGUCAAAGCAGCGAUGCGCUUGAAGAGGAGUUCGCGGCAGAUUAGUUAGUUGGCAGGUAAUGGCCACCAAGACGAUGAUCUGUAUCCGGCCUGAGAGGGCGCACGGACACACUGGAACUAGAAACACGGUCCAGACUCCGUACGGGAGGCAGCAGGUGGGGUAAUUUUGCGCAAGUACGGGGGAAACCC
rnacentral:rRNA from 1 species